AGAGUUUGAUCCUGGCUCAGGAUGAACGCUGGCGGCGUGCCUAACACAUGCAAGUCGAACGAAGCUUGACGGAUGAUUUCUUCGGAAUGAAACCAGAUAUGACUUAGUGGCGGACGGGUGAGUAACACGUGAGCAACCUGCCUUUCAGAGGGGGAUAACGGCUGGAAACGGUCGCUAAUACCGCAUGAUGUGUUCGGAUGGCAUCAUCUGAACAUCAAAGAUUUAUCGCUGAAAGAUGGGCUCGCGUCUGAUUAGAUAGUUGGUGGGGUAACGGCCUACCAAGUCGACGAUCAGUAGCCGGACUGAGAGGUUGAACGGCCACAUUGGGACUGAGAUACGGCCCAGACUCCUACGGGAGGCAGCAGUGGGGAAUAUUGCACAAUGGGGGAAACCCUGAUGCAGCAACGCCGCGUGAAGGAUGACGGUUUUCGGAUUGUAAACUUCUUUUCUUAGUGACGAAGACAGUGACGGUAGCUAAGGAAUAAGCAUCGGCUAACUACGUGCCAGCAGCCGCGGUAAUACGUAGGAUGCAAGCGUUAUCCGGAUUUACUGGGUGUAAAGGGAGCGCAGGCGGGACUGCAAGUUGGAUGUGAAAUACCGUGGCUUAACCACGGAACUGCAUCCAAAACUGUAGUUCUUGAGUGAAGUAGAGGCAAGCGGAAUUCCGAGUGUAGCGGUGAAAUGCGUAGAUAUUCGGAGGAACACCAGUGGCGAAGGCGGCUUGCUGGGCUUUAACUGACGCUGAGGCUCGAAAGUGUGGGGAGCAAACAGGAUUAGAUACCCUGGUAGUCCACACUGUAAACGAUGAUUACUAGGUGUUGGAGGAUUGACCCCUUCAGUGCCGCAGUUAACACAAUAAGUAAUCCACCUGGGGAGUACGACCGCAAGGUUGAAACUCAAAGGAAUUGACGGGGGCCCGCACAAGCAGUGGAUUAUGUGGUUUAAUUCGAAGCAACGCGAAGAACCUUACCAGGUCUUGACAUCCGAU
rnacentral:rRNA from 1 species